rnacentral:rRNA from 1 species
GUGGGGGAUAUUGCACAAUGGGGGAAACCCUGAUGCAGCGACGCCGCGUGAAGGAAGACGUACUUCGGUAUGUAAACUUCUAUCAGCAGGGAAGAAGAUGACGGUACCUGACUAAGAAGCCCCGGCUAACUACGUGCCAGCAGCCGCGGUAAUACGUAGGGGGCAAGCGUUAUCCGGAUUUACUGGGUGUAAAGGGAGCGUAGACGGUGAAGCAAGUCUGAUGUGAAAACCCGGGGCUCAACUCCGGGAUUGCAUUGGAAACUGUUUUACUUGAGUGCUGGAGGGGCAAGCGGAAUUCCUGGUGUAGCGGUGAAAUGCGUAGAUAUCAGGAAGAACACCGGUGGCGAAGGCGGCUUGCUGGACAGUAACUGACGUUGAGGCUCGAAAGCGUGGGGAGCAAACAGGAUUAGAACCUGUAGUCC